rnacentral:rRNA from 1 species
UGGGGAAUAUUGCGCAAUGGCCGCAAGGCUGACGCAGCGACGCCGCGUGUGGGAGGACGCCCCUCGGGGUGUAAACCACUGUUGCCCGGGACGAACAUCCGCAAUCGUGCGGACUGACGGUACCGGGUGAGGAAGCACCGGCUAACUCCGUGCCAGCAGCCGCGGUAAUACGGAGGGUGCGAGCGUUGUCCGGAAUCACUGGGCGUAAAGGGCGCGUAGGUGGCCUCUUAAGUGUGUGGUGAAAGCCCGGGGCUCAACCCCGGGUCGGCCAUGCAAACUGGGGGGCUUGAGCAUUGUAGAGGCAGGCGGAAUUCCGGGUGUAGUGGUGGAAUGCGUAGAGAUCCGGAAGAACACCGGUGGCGAAGGCGGCCUGCUGGGCAAUAGCUGACACUGAGGCGCGACAGCGUGGGGAGCAAACAG